AAACUCCGAAUACCUAUAGGUGGAGUCCGGGAGUCAGACUAUGGGGGCUAAGCUUCAUCAGUCAAAAGGGAAACAGCCCAGAUCACAAUUUAAGGUCCCAAAAUCUAUGCUAAGUGUAAAAGGUGGUGUUGUGACUACGACAGUUAGGAGGUUGGCUUAGAAGCAGCCAUCCUUUAAAGAAAGCGUAAUAGCUCACUAAUCAAGUUGUUUCGCGCCGAAAAUUUACCGGGGCUAAGUAUAUUACCGAAGAUGUGAACUUUAUAAUUUAUUAUGAAGUGGUAGAGGAGCAUUCUGUUCAGCACUGAAGUUGUAGCGUGAGCUAUGGUGGAGCGGACAGAAGAGAGAAUGUUGGCAUGAGUAGCAAAAAGGCGGGUGGAAACCCCGCCCAUGGAAAAUCCAAGGUUUCCUGGGCAACGCAAAUCGACCCAGGGUUAGUCGAUCCUAAGGCAUAGCUAAUGUAGUGUUAGCGUAGCCGAUGGCAGAGCUGGUUAAUAUUCCAGCACUACUAUAAUUUUCCGAAGGAGUGACGCAGUUCCAAGGUUAGAACGGGCUAUGGUAUGUCCGUUGCUUGCCGCAAGAAAUGAUAUAGGCAAAUCCGUAUCAACAAUUUCAAGCGGUCGGCUGAAGAUGAAGUCGCAAGAUGGAUUCGAUCUAGUAGCGGAAUUGCCCAGAAAAACUUCUAGGGCUAAGGUUAUAGUAACCGUACCGCAAACCGACACAGGUGGAUGAGGCGAGAAGCCUCAGAUGUACGAGAGAAUCUUCGUUAAGGAACUCGGCAAAACAGCGACCGUAAUUUAGAGAUAAGGUCUGCCCUCGCAAGAGGGCCGCAGCUAAAGAGCUCAAGGGACUGUUUACCAAAAACACAGCUCUCUGCUAACUCGCAAGAGGAUGUAUAGAGGGUGAUGCCUGGCCAGUGUCCGAACGUUAAGAGGAGAGGUUAACCCUUCGGGGUGAAGCUUUGAAUCCAAGCGCGGAUGAACGCCGGCGAUAACUAUAAUCGUCCUAAGGUAGCGAAAUUCCUUGUCGGGUAAGUUCCGACCUGCACGAAUGGCUUAACCACUUGAGCACUGUCUCAACGAAGAACUCGGUGAAAUUGCAAUACGAGUAAAGAUGCUCGUUAAACACAGUUGGACGAAAAGACCCCGUGAAGCUUUACUAUAGCUUGAUAUUGAAAUAGGGAUAUGCAUGUUCAGAAUAGGUGGGAGCCUUCGGGCACCAGUGAGAUACCACCCUUGUAUAUUCUUAUUUCUAACCUCUUUUAGAGGGACAGUGUCUGGUGGGUAGUUUGUCUGGGGCGGAUGCCUCCCAAAAGGUAACGGAGGCGUUUACAAAGGUUGGCUAUCCCGGAAUGGAAACCCGGGAGAUAGUGUAAAGGCACAAGCCAGCUUUACUGCGAGACUUACCAGUCAAGCAGUUGCGAAAGCAGAACUUAGUGAACCGACCGUUCGAUAUAGGACGGCGGAAGAUCAUCGGAUAAAAGCUACUCCGGGGAUAACAGGCUAGUCACGCCCAAGCGUCCACAGCGACGGCGUGGUUCGGCACCUCGAUGUCGGCUCGUCGCAUCCUGGGGGGGGAGAAGCUCCCAAGGGUUGGGCUGUUCGCCCAUUAA
rnacentral:rRNA from 1 species